rnacentral:lncRNA from 1 species
AAAUAAGGAUAUUUUAUUAAAUUAACUACAUGAGCGUCCUUUGAAUGAAAAGGGGCAAUGUAUGUAAUGGAGUGCAGGAUGAAGGCUAGGGUUCGAGGGAAAGGGCUAAUGUGGAGGAGGCGUGUGUCGUAGAGGCAAGGGUUCCAAUAAAGGUCAGACUAGGGUUCCAAUGAACGCAAGAAGAACCAUACGUAUUCUCUAUGAGUGAGAUUGAAUGAGCGCGACUGAGAGAAAGAAUGAAAAUUUUUCUUUAUGAAAUUGUUAGAAAGUGAAACCCUAGAGCUCCGAUUGAACACCCAUUGUAGGUUAGGAUACUAUAAGGAAAAUGAAAACUAAAACCAUGGAGCUCCGAUUGAAUCCCUAUGGCAGGUUAAGGCACAAAAAGAGAAAAAAUAGAAACCAUGUUAUACAACGAGCGAGGGUCAGAAAAGAAAAGGCUUUUGAACAAAGAAGGAAGAAAAAAAAAACUUCAGUGAAUGAUUUUUUACUAAAAGAGACCAGGAUUGGAGGCAAAAAUCCUAGGUUUUGAGGCAGGAAGAUGAUGUUCAACAUAAAGAAAGGGAGGGCUCGAGUGAGUGAGGGAUAACAAAG